rnacentral:lncRNA from 1 species
AUCACCACCGUCUCCAUCAUCAUGGGAGGAAUGGAAGGAGCCUAUUAGGAUGGAGAGAGAGGGAAGGGUAGGCAGUGGUGGUGCUAGUCUCCACCGGUGGCACCACCACGGUCAAAGAGAUGGGUUUUGUUUGAUUUUUUUGGAGAGUAAUUAUGUCCAAAUUUUAUUUUGCAACGUUGUCAAAGAAUUGAUAUCUGGAUAGCCACCCCUCCUUAAGACUUUUAAAUUAUCUCUUGAGAGGACAAUCUGGAUUGCCACCCGAAAGGCAUAUGAAACAU